rnacentral:tRNA from 1 species
GGGGCCGUAGCUUAGCUAGGUAGAGCGCCCUGGGACUCAGUCCCGGCCAGUCCCGCGUAGGGCUCAUAAAGGGCGCCCGGCCCGAGCAGCCGGGAGGCCCCGGGUUCAAAUCCCGGCGGCCCCA